AUGUAAGCAUAAGAUACCCAAGCCAGAAACAGCAACCCUUCCGGGUCCCCUUCCCCCACGUGGAAGCUUUCCUUUCACUUUCGCUUUAAUAAAUCUUGCCGCAGCACACUCCCUAAUCGAGCUGUAACACUCGCCGCUUCAUUCCUUGAAGCCCGUGAGACCACGAACCCUUCGAUUGAGAAGAACCUUCGGUCGGAAGAAGACUUCUCGUCUCAGUAACAAUAACAAGAAAAACAGCCUAGACUAGACGCACAUCAGGAAGACAGGUACCCAGCAUAACCCCAUUGCAGAGCUGUUCCCUGGGACCUGGAGAGGAACACAGCAGGCUGCCAUGCCCACUGCACCUGCAGCUGCAGAAUAAACACGUGGAGGUCAUUGAUCACCUUGACUGAAGCACUGCAGACAAGAUAAAGACAGCCUGAUGCAGAGGAAGAUUGAGGACUAAGGGGCUUCAUCCACAGUUAAUCCCUUCAUGUAUUGACCCGGAAACAUAAUCUCAUUUGCCUAUAAGACAGAGAGAGAGAGAAUAAUAGAA
rnacentral:lncRNA from 1 species